UUGUAGAAAGUUGGCUUAGAUAUUUUCUUCUCUCUCUUCAAGCCGGUACACGUCCGACAUUUUUCUACACCAAAGCUCUCUCCUUUCCUUCCUUCCAAGGAUCUCUCGUCUCUCCAUCAUCUCUCUUCAAUCCACAGUUUUCUUGGUCGAUGUUUAUGGUUGUUCUUUGAUGAAUGUAAGAGUAUAUGGGCAUAACUUUAGGCUAUGGUCUGGAUCUUCUCUCCACGAAAAUGUGAAUAUCUUUGACACUCAGACCAGAAAGUUCUUCUCCCAUCAAUUGCCUGUAUAUGCCACAAUGGACUGGUCAACUGUGCUAUCAGAGUUAUUUCUUCUAUAACAUAUUACAUUGGAAAGGUCAUAUUUACUGAAGGAAAGAGGGAUGGUGUAUCUCUUGCUUUUGGCAUCGGGCCCUUGGCGGGAGGCCUGCAUGACGGGCUAUUAGUUCAAUGGUAGAGCGUGCCCCUGAUAAUUGCGUUGUUGUGCCUAGACUAUGAGAACUCAGCCACAUGGAUAGUUCAAUGUGCUCGUCAGUGCCUUUGAGAUGUGGAUCAUCCAAGCACAUUAGCAUGGCGUACUUCUCCUGUUCGAACUAGGGUCUCAAACCAAACUUCUCCUUAGCAGGAUAGAUGGGGCGAUUCAGGUGAGAUCUGAUGUAGAUUCAACUUUCUAUUCACUCGUGGGAUCUGGACGGUCUGGGGGACCACCGCGGCUCCUCUCUUAUCGAGAAUCCAUAUAUCUCUUAUCAAUGUAUGGACGGCUAUCUCUCGAGCACAGGUUUAAGUUCGGCAUCGAUGGGAAAAUAAAAUGGAGUACUUAACAACGUAUCUUCAAAACCAAGAACUACGAGAUCGCCCGUACAAUGUAAUUUAUGUAAUUUGAUGGUCCAUUUUUUUGUGUUUCUCAUUAAAUACCUUGCCUAUGUCUUUUGCCUACCCUUUUCUUUUGGACUUUUUAUUAAAAGUUGCCUUGUAUUUUAUUUUUAUUUGUAUAGCAAUAUUAGAGGAUGCCUUCUGAGAAAUUGUUGAAGGACCAAUUGGUUCAUGGUGCAUCUUGGCACCCAUUGAUUUUAAUUUCUCAAUUCAAUAUUGCAAUUUAAUGGAGUGUUCAAUUGCAUGACAAAGAAAGUAAAAGGAAAGUUUGUAAUUCAUAUCUUCACAGAACAGUUGAAAGUUCUAGGUAAAAGAUGGUUUUUACUGGCGAGUGAACGGGUCUUGUGGUCUCCUAAUCUUACUUGUUAUUCCAUCAACUUCCUAGAUGGCAUGAAUGAAAAAUUGGCAGUGGCUUUUUGAUGAGAUUAUGCUAGUUUGUCAUAUUAUAUUUUCUUUUUGUGAUCAUUAACCUAAUGUGCUGGUUUCUAAGAGUAACUAUUAACAACAGAAAUCUUGGUUCAUUUUGAGGUGCUUAAUUUUUUAAUGCUUUUGAUUGUAGGAAUAAUUUACUGUGGUGAAAAUAUAGAAGUUUAGCACAUCAAGGAAAGGAAUUUCCAUUGGCUAUUUGUGAUGGGAUUUUGAAGGUUGGUUAAAAAUAAAGAUAGAGAACAUAGUUUUGAGUAAUCCUAGUGUAGAAAACUUGGAUAUGGAAUAAGCUUGUCAUUAGUGAAAGAACAACAAAAGCAAAAUGUUUGUUGGAGAUUCCUGGCAAUAAUAUUGUGCUAUAGUAAAUAUGUUGACCAGGUGAUAGAUAAGCUUGGAUAGUUUCAUUAGGAAAUUAUUUUGGUCAUAACGCAUUAAGUAAGCAAAUUGUUAAGAAAUCACUCAACAAGCUUAAGCUUGUAAAUGAGGACCCAAAAAUAAUCUUAUAUAUCUUUUGUUACUCAUUGGUUUAGGAUAAGCAAAUUGUACCAAAUAUAAAGACUUAGGGCAGUCCAACUUUUAGGAUAGAGAUGUUCUUAGCCAAUUUUUCCAAUAUGGUAUUAAAGCUUGUCCCCAUUUCAAUAUUGGGCCUCCUGUAGAUGUUUAUACUUGUAAACUUCACACUCAAAAUGUUCAUGUUUGUGUGGCAGGGGAAUAUAUUGUCCUACGGUGGUUUUGAGAUGAGGAAAUUGUAUUAAAUAUAAAGACUUUGGCAAUCCUUCCCUCUUGUGCUUGCUUUGGUGUAGAGUUAGGCUCGAUCCAUUUCUCAAAUAAUCUUUAAUAACCCCUACACAUGAAUGUCCACUAGGCUUGAAAAAUAAACAAGCAUAGAGUCACUUCAUCUUAUACUUAAAUAUUCAAUUGGAAGGUCUAUAGUUCUUAACAAAUCUUACUCCUUCAAAAAUGUCCUUUGCAAUUUACCAUCGGAUGGAUUUUAUGCAUAAAGACAUCUUCUCCUCAAGUAAAUUUAUAAAGGUCAAGAGGGGAAAAAUCGCUAGGGAAAAGAUUUUGAUGAAUGUUAAUUUUCAAGAAAGAGAGUCUUUUAAGUGAGGAACGCUAACUUUGCAACUACACUUAAUUCAAAUAAGCCUUAAUAGUAGUCUCGUCGCGGUUGGUUAAAUGGAAGUUUUGUUCUCCCUUUCCUUUCUUCCUUUCUUUCUUUUUUUUUUUUUUUUUUUUUCUUUUGUGUGUGUGUGUGUGUGUUUAGGAGAGGUUUAUUGCUACCAAUAUCAAGCCCGUUUUUCCUAUACUUCAUUGCAUGCCGUUGGAAAUCUUUCUCUUGAGGAACAUAUCCAAAACUAUGUGUUAGUAUGCUUAACAUCCCAUUCUAGUGCAUAGGUUGUUAUAUGACAAACAUAAACCAUCUCAAUCAUUCCUUCACAAUUUCUAACUUCCUAAAAAUGCUUUUACUCAUUCUCCAGUCUCUAUUUCUAUCUUAGCAUUGUCAUCCUUUUCAUGCUAUUUUUUUUUUCUUACAGCAAAGCAGAUUGAAUUGCCGAUCUAAGGUAGUUGCAGUUUCUUAGACUCUACUAAAAGAUGCUAUAUAUUUUGAAUAUUUUUGCCAACGUCAGUUUUGGUCCAAUUAUCCCUUUUUCUCUCCUAGUUGAACCCAUUAACCCCACCCUUUUUCCUUUUUGGGUGUGGGAGGCUUCUCUCUCCCUCUCUUUUUGUUUCUCUUGCUUUCUCUCUAUAAUUUAACACUAGAAGUGAAACUCGAAGUACUACACUGAUGAACAUUAUGAAGCAUUUUAAUAUCAAUAAAUUAAAAGUAAGCAUGUUUUUCUUUAAAUGCUGGCAGCAAAAUUCAUGGAAGUGUUAAGCAUUAUAGCGUCACGUAAUUUCUGUGAUGGCCGGGUUUUGCGGCACUGUGACUGAUAUUGGACUAGUGAUGCUUGGACUGGUAAGCAGGAAGUCACAAGUGCCUUGAGUAUUUACAUACUGACCUAAAUGUAGUAUUGGAUGUUGGAAUGCGACGUCUAACGCAAAUGUUGAGUUAGAUCCCAGAGCUUGUUGCUUUUUGGAAGAAAAUGGCAUUGCAGAGAUUGCCAUGGGCUUGAAAGAGAACCUGCAGAGCGUUGUUAAACAAUUGUAAGUGAACUUGGGCACUGUUGGGAGGAGAUUUAUGCAUGAAUUUGUCACGUGUUCACCAUGAAUUUUGAUUGUCUAAUAAAUUGUUUUCUGACAAAGGAUUUUGUGCUUAUACAUAUGUGAAAAGGAUUUUCACAGAUGUCAUGCUCUCAACUUUGUCAAAGGUGAUAUUUCCAAGACAGAAGCUUAAUGUCUGGUUGUGUGCAGUGACCUGACUGCUACAAAGUAUCCAGCAACUACUGGGAGGUCCUUAAUGCUGCAACACAUCUAAUUUUAAGUUAUAAUUAGUGCUGAAUGGAAGCGACUUUAAGCAUUACUGAAUAAGGGCAAUUUGUGGUUUUCUGUAAUUCGGCGAAAAUCUCAAUUUGUACUACAGCUUGAGAUUGGAGAACGUAUUGAGAUGGUUGUGUCUUGAAAGUUUGCCUUUCGAGGAACCAAAUAGUUAUACAUCAGAGAUAACUUGAG